CCUACGGGGUGCAGCAGUGGGGAAUAUUGGACAAUGGGCGAAAGCCUGAUCCAGCCAUGCCGCGUGUGUGAAGAAGGCCUUCGGGUUGUAAAGCACUUUCAGUGGGGAAGAAAGCCUUGGGGCUAAUACCCUCGAGGAAGGACAUCACCCACAGAAGAAGCACCGGCUAACUCCGUGCCAGCAGCCGCGGUAAUACGGAGGGUGCGAGCGUUAAUCGGAAUUACUGGGCGUAAAGCGCGCGUAGGCGGUCUGAUAAGCCGGUUGUGAAAGCCCGGGCUCAACCUGGGAACGGCAUCCGGAACUGUCAGGCUAGAGUGCAGGAGAGGAAGGUAGAAUUCCCGGUGUAGCGGUGAAAUGCGUAGAGAUCGGGAGGAAUACCAGUGGCGAAGGUGGCCUUCUGGACUGACACUGACGCUGAGGUGCGAAAGCGUGGGUAGCAAACAGGAUUAGAUACCCUGGUAGUC
rnacentral:rRNA from 1 species